AUUGAACGCUGGCGGCAUGCUUUACACAUGCAAGUCGAACGGCAGCGCGGGCUCCGGCCUGGCGGCGAGUGGCGAACGGGUGAGUAAUGCAUCGGAACGUGCCCAGUAGUGGGGGAUAGCCCGGCGAAAGCCGGAUUAAUACCGCAUACGACCUGAGGGUGAAAGCGGGGGACCGAAAGGCCUCGCGCUAUUGGAGCGGCCGAUGUCGGAUUAGCUAGUUGGUGGGGUAAAGGCUUACCAAGGCGACGAUCCGUAGCUGGUCUGAGAGGACGACCAGCCACACUGGGACUGAGACACGGCCCAGACUCCUACGGGAGGCAGCAGUGGGGAAUUUUGGACAAUGGGGGCAACCCUGAUCCAGCCAUGCCGCGUGCGGGAAGAAGGCCUUCGGGUUGUAAACCGCUUUUGUUCGGGAAGAAAUCCUCUGGGCUAAUACCCCGGGGGGAUGACGGUACCGGAAGAAUAAGCACCGGCUAACUACGUG
rnacentral:rRNA from 1 species